AUGCAGUAUACAGGUCCUCGAUUGAAGGCAGGUGGGUAGUCAUUGUCUUUUCUGCAGUCCUAAUUAUCCUCUGUGUCUGUCCUGUUGGAUGGCAGAACCAAACCAGACAGUUAUAGAGGUGCAGAAGACAGACUCAACAAUUCCUCUUUAAAACUGGAUCAGAAGCUCCUUGGAGCAUUCUGAGUUGGUACAGAAAUAACAUUCAUAUGUUUUAAAU